CAACAUAUUUGUUGAUGCAUAUGGCAAAGAAGGAAUGAUUGAAGAUGCAGAGGAUGUGAUAGAGUUGAUGAUUCAAAGAAGAGUUUAUCCUGAUGUAAUCACUUACAAUUCACUCAUGGAUGGAU
rnacentral:miRNA from 1 species